rnacentral:tRNA from 1 species
ACCGAAAUAGCUCAUUUGGGAAAGCGUUCGACUAUAGAUUGAAGGGUCCUUGGUUUGAUCCCGGGAUUAGCAA